rnacentral:rRNA from 1 species
GGGCCCGCACAAGCGGUGGAGUAUGUGGUUUAAUUCGAAGCAACGCGAAGAACCUUACCAGGCCUUGACAUCCCGAGCAAAGUUAUGGAGACAUAAUGGAGGUUAUCUCGGUGACAGGUGGUGCAUGGUUGUCGUCAGCUCGUGUCGUGAGAUGUUGGGUUAAGUCCCGCAACGAGCGCAACCCUUGUCUUUAGUUACUAACAUUUAGUUGAGGACUCUAGAGAGACUGCCGGUGAUAAACCGGAGGAAGGUGGGGAUGACGUCAAAUCAUCAUGCCCCUUAUGGCCUGGGCUACACACGUACUACAAUGGCAACUACAAAGAGCAGCGAACUCGCGAGAGCAAGCAAAUCUCAUAAAGGUUGUCUCAGUUCGGAUUGAAGUCUGCAACUCGACUUCAUGAAGUCGGAAUCGCUAGUAAUCGUAGAUCAGCAUGCUACGGUGAAUACG